UGACAAGCGGUGGAGCGGGAUUAGAACUCAUGACCUUCUGAUUCCCAGGGCCCAGCAGACCUCCAGCGCGGAAGAGGACAACUCAGGGCCGUGCACCUCACACUUCAGCUUCGGGAGGGUCCUCUCCGGCGUCCGGUUCACCGAUACUGCCCACGAGAGAGACCGUCAGCCCAGCCCAGGAGGCCUGGGCCCGGCCUUCCUCCGCUGGCGGGAGAGGUGCCCGGGCUCGACCUUCUGCUCCAACUUCCCGCUGGGUUGAUUCUCGAUCCUCAGGCGGAGGCAGCCCGAGCCGGCGUGCUGGGUCCGGAGGCGAUUCACCCUGAAGCUGAGGUUGUGGCCCGAGCCCUCCUCCGUGGGCCCCAG